CCAAUAGCGUAUAUUAAAGUUGUUGCAGUUAAAAAGCUCGUAGUUGAAUUUCGGGAUCAAGGGAUCGGUCAUGCCUUGGUAUGUACUGGUUUCAUUGGUUCUCACCUUCUAAAGAACCAUGAUGUCAUUCAUUUGAUGUUAUGGGGAAUUAGGACUGUUACCUUGAAAAAAUUAGAGUGUUUAAAGCAAGCUUACGCUUGAAUACAUUAGCAUGGAAUAAUGAAAUAGGACAUCCGAUUCUAUUUUGUUGGUUUCUAGGAUCGAUGUAAUGAUUAAUAGGGAUAGUUGGGGGCAUUAGUAUUCAAUUGUCAGAGGUGAAAUUCUUGGAUUUAUUGAAGACUAACUACUGCGAAAGCAUUUGCCAAGGAUGUUUUCAUUAAUCAAGAACGAAAGUUAGGGGAUCGAAGACGAUCAGAUACCGUCGUAGUCUUAACCAUAAACUAUGCCGACUAGGGAUCGGAUGAUGUUAAUUUUUUAAUGACUCAUUCGGCGCCUUACG
rnacentral:rRNA from 1 species